rnacentral:rRNA from 1 species
AUUCCUACGGGAGGCAGCAGUGGGGAAUAUUGCACAAUGGGCGGAAGCCUGAUGCAGCGACGCCGCGUGAGGGAUGACGGCCUUCGGGUUGUAAACCUCUUUCAGCUCUGGCGAAGCUUGUGUGACGGUAGGAGCAGAAGAAGCACCGGCUAACUACGUGCCAGCAGCCGCGGUAAUACGUAGGGUGCGAGCGUUGUCCGGAAUUAUUGGGCGUAAAGAGCUUGUAGGCGGUUUGUCGCGUCUGCUGUGAAAGCCCGGGGCUUAACUCCGGGUCUGCAGUGGGUACGGGCAGGCUAGAGUGUGGUAGGGGAGACUGGAAUUCCUGGUGUAGCGGUGGAAUGCGCAGAUAUCAGGAGGAACACCGAUGGCGAAGGCAGGUCUCUGGGCCAUGACUGACGCUGAGAAGCGAAAGCGUGGGGAGCGAACAGGAUUAGAUACCCUAGUAGUCCACGCCGUAAACGUUGGGCGCUAGGUGUGGGUCCCAUUCCACGGGGUCCGUGCCGCAGCUAACGCAUUAAGCGCCCCGCCUGGGGAGUACGGCCGCAAGGCUAAAACUCAAAGGAAUUGACGGAAU